rnacentral:rRNA from 1 species
CAUAGGUUAAUGAGGCGAACCGGGGGAACUGAAACAUCUAAGUACCCCGAGGAAAAGAAAUCAACCGAGAUUCCCCCAGUAGCGGCGAGCGAACGGGGAGCAGCCCAGAGCCUGAAUCAGUGUGUGUGUUAGUGGAAGCGUCUGGAAAGGCGCGCGAUACAGGGUGACAGCCCCGUACACAAAAAUGCACAUACUGUGAGCUCGAUGAGUAGGGCGGGACACGUGGUAUCCUGUCUGAAUAUGGGGGGACCAUCCUCCAAGGCUAAAUACUCCUGACUGACCGAUAGUGAACCAGUACCGUGAGGGAAAGGCGAAAAGAACCCCGGCGAGGGGAGUGAAAAAGAACCUGAAACCGUGUACGUACAAGCAGUGGGAGCACGCUUAGGCGUGUGACUGCGUACCUUUUGUAUAAUGGGUCAGCGACUUAUAUUCUGUAGCAAGGUUAACCGAAUAGGGGAGCCGAAGGGAAACCGAGUCUUAACUGGGCGUUAAGUUGCAGGGUAUAGACCCGAAACCCGGUGAUCUAGCCAUGGGCAGGUUGAAGGUUGGGUAACACUAACUGGAGGACCGAACCGACUAAUGUUGAAAAAUUAGCGGAUGACUUGUGGCUGGGGGUGAAAGGCCAAUCAAACCGGGAGAUAGCUGGUUCUCCCCGAAAGCUAUUUAGGUAGCGCCUCGUGAAUUCAUCUCCGGGGGUAGAGCACUGUUUCGGCAAGGGGGUCAUCCCGACUUACCAACCCGAUGCAAACUGCGAAUACCGGAGAAUGUUAUCACGGGAGACACACGGCGGGUGCUAACGUCCGUCGUGAAGAGGGAAACAACCCAGACCGCCAGCUAAGGUCCCAAAGUCAUGGUUAAGUGGGAAACGAUGUGGGAAGGCCCAGACAGCCAGGAUGUUGGCUUAGAAGCAGCCAUCAUUUAAAGAAAGCGUAAUAGCUCACUGGUCGAGUCGGCCUGCGCGGAAGAUGUAACGGGGCUAAACCAUGCACCGAAGCUGCGGCAGCGACGCUGAUGCGUUGUUGGGUAGGGGAGCGUUCUGUAAGCCUGUGAAGGUGUGCUGUGAGGCAUGCUGGAGGUAUCAGAAGUGCGAAUGCUGACAUAA